AACCCAUUGUCUAAAACGCAAUCUCUUAGUUAUUGUGGGGAGGAAUGUCAAAGACAACUACUAAUUGGCUUUUCUUUUUAGAAGUUUACAGUAUUGAGUGAAAUACAUGUGAACCCUCAUUGCAAAUUUACUAAUUUUCAAAUGGUGAAACUCACGUGACCUGAAGUAGAAAAAGAGCGGAGGGGCUAAGAUGAUACUGUUAUCCAGCUCUAUGACCUUGGGCACACAACCUAAUCUCUCUGAGCCAUCGGUUUCCUCAUCUGUAAAAUAGAGGAUGCUGUAUCCACCUGUUGGGGCCACCUCGCAGAGAUAAGAUGGACUCCUGCCUGCAAAUUUGGUUUGAAUGUUAAGACUGAUGAUGCCACACAGACACCAAGAAGGCUUGAAAAGGCUUAUAACUCAUAGAAUGAGGCUUUCUGGGAGAGAGCAAGGUGGGUUCCCAAGCAGGUCCAAGGAUGGCUCAGGGUUUCAGGGAAAGGAGACUGGAUUUGGGGUUUAUGGUAGUGAGGGGCUGGGAUGGGGGUGCCCCCUUCCAGCUGGGGUUUCUAUGGUUUGAACUUCCCACCGGUGCCAAAGGAGGGAACACCUGGGCUUUUUUAUAAGCUUGUGGGGCAGAAGGACAAGAGGCCUGGUAGGGCUUGAAAGGUGUCAGAAGCUACGCAUCAGACCUGUGGUCAGAUUCUCUAUUUACUAGUGUAGAGGGUUGUUGUGAGAGUUAAAUGAGAUUGCCCCCAAACAGCCUUUAACACAGGGGCCAGCAAACAGUAAAUACUCAGUAAAUGUUACCUUUUGAAAUAAACUUUGUUUCUUAAAACAAUCACUUUUUAAAACUCACCCCAAAAAUGCAAGAAACACCACCUGCUUUUUCCUUGUUCCCGUUCUUUAUACUAGAUGCAUUUUUAAAAGACUUCAACUUAAUCUCUACGUGUGAAGAAACAAUUACCAGCAGUCCUCCAGCAACAAAAAGGCUGUGUUCUAAGCAUUCUGUUUUAAAUCGAUUGUCACUUGGAACGCAUUUUUCCAUGGAAACAGUGUUAUAAAUAGAGUGAGGUUCCCAGAGGGAUGCUCAAAUUCUUCCUAAACUGUCAUAUAGCUGAAACAGUCCUGGAUAGAACAGGGAACUCUGAAUCCUAGAACAGUACUCGGGCCUCUUGGAAUCCCGAGCUCUUUCAGCUCAGGGCAACCCUGGGUGAGGCUGGACCCAAGACUUUUGGAAACCUUGGUGAGGAGGAGCUGGCUGAAUUGGAGCUCAAUGGAGCAUGGUGUGGCUGAUGGGGGCCAUAUGCAAUUAUGACUGUACUUCCAGACAACCUCUACGUCAGACCCCAAUGGAAUUGUCUUGUUGGGCUUUGGGGGCUGUCCCUCAUCUCUGUGGGUAGGGUAAUACUUGCCCUGAAGGGAAGAGAUGCUUCAACUCUCAGCCAUCCUAAGGAGGAGCCAAUCCAGGAGCAGGACACGAGCACUCCAGUGGUGGACCCUAGCCUAGGAGCAGCACUCACCAGGCGCAGCCCGAGAAAUAUGUGGAAAGGUGUGCACGACAAAAGGCCAGAUCUCCUGAUAGGAAGCAGGAUGGAGGCUGGCACAACUUACAGAUGCAUCAGAUAUUGAUGGAUGCCAGAGAUCUGUUUACAGAUAAGCAAGAUUUGGUACCUGCCCUCAAAAUAAUCCUGAGCAGUCUUUGUAUGCCUUUCCUUUUGUGUCCUUUCAGAUCCUUAUACCUCAAAUAUCAUGGAGUAUGCUCUUUACUUUCUAUGUUGAGAACUUAAUUGUUGCUUUGACUACCAAAUAGCUCACACCCGAGAGCCCUGGUAAGCUUCAUUUCAGCCUCCAGGCCAACAUCCCAUACCAGCUUUCACCCUCCAAAAUGACAUGGCGGGUUGUUGAAAGUUAAUUCCUCCUGGAACUCUGUGAUAACACUAAAAUAUGUCCCAGAAGCUCUUUUAAAGGUUCACUUCUACGCAUAGAUUUCACUAUGUAUUUACAGACACUUGCGUGUUUUCGAAGACGUCAUUACAGUUUUCCCUCCUCAUAAUUAUGCCCCAUGUGAAUAAAAUAUGUGCUCUGAAAGUC